rnacentral:rRNA from 1 species
AGAGUUUGAUCCUGGCUCAGAUUGAACGCUGGCGGCAUGCUUUACACAUGCAAGUCGAACGGCAGCACGGGGGCAACCCUGGUGGCGAGUGGCGAACGGGUGAGUAAUAUAUCGGAACGUACCCGGAAAUGGGGGAUAACGUAGCGAAAGUUACGCUAAUACCGCAUAUGCCCUAAGGGGGAAAGCGGGGGAUUCGCAAGAACCUCGCGUUUUCGGAGCGGCCGAUAUCGGAUUAGCUAGUAGGUGAGGUAAAGGCUCACCUAGGCGACGAUCCGUAGCUGGUCUGAGAGGACGACCAGCCACACUGGAACUGAGACACGGUCCAGACUCCUACGGGAGGCAGCAGUGGGGAAUCUUGGACAAUGGGCGCAAGCCUGAUCCAGCCAUGCCGCGUGAGUGAAGAAGGCCUUCGGGUUGUAAAGCUCUUUCAGCCGGAAAGAAAACGCACGGGUUAAUAACCUGUGUGGAUGACGGUACCGGAAGAAGAAGCACCGGCUAACUACGUGCCAGCAGCCGCGGUAAUACGUAGGGUGCGAGCGUUAAUCGGAAUUACUGGGCGUAAAGCGUGCGCAGGCGGUUUUGUAAGACAGAUGUGAAAUCCCCGGGCUUAACCUGGGAACUGCAUUUGUAACUGCAAGGCUAGAGUACGGCAGAGGGGGGUAGAAUUCCACGUGUAGCAGUGAAAUGCGUAGAUAUGUGGAGGAAUACCGAUGGCGAAGGCAGCCCCCUGGGUCGAUACUGACGCUCAUGCACGAAAGCGUGGGGAGCAAACAGGAUUAGAUACCCUGGUAGUCCACGCCCUAAACGAUGUCAACUAGGUGUUGGGGGAGGAGACUUCCUUAGUACCGCAGCUAACGCGUGAAGUUGACCGCCUGGGGAGUACGGUCGCAAGAUUAAAACUCAAAGGAAUUGACGGGGACCCGCACAAGCGGUGGAUUAUGUGGAUUAAUUCGAUGCAACGCGAAAAACCUUACCUACCCUUGACAUGCCAGGAACUUGCCAGAGAUGGCUUGGUGCCCGAAAGGGAACCUGGACACAGGUGCUGCAUGGCUGUCGUCAGCUCGUGUCGUGAGAUGUUGGGUUAAGUCCCGCAACGAGCGCAACCCCUGUGUCCAGUUGCCCGCAAGGGAUCUCUGGACAGACUGCCCUGUGAAACGGGGAGGAAGGUGGGGAUGACGUCAAGUCAGUAUGGCCCUUACGGCCAGGGCUGCACACGUACUACAAUGCUCAGUACAGAAUGAACCGAAUCCGCGAGGUGGAGGAAAUCUCUAAAACUGAGCCCAGUUCGGAUUGGAGGCUGCAACUCGCCUCCAUGAAGUUGGAAUCGCUAGUAAUGGCGCAUCAGCUACGGCGCCGUGAAUACGUUCCCGGGCCUUGUACACACCGCCCGUCACAUCAUGGGAGUCGUUUGUAGCCGAAGUACGCACGCUAACCGCAAGGAGGCAGCGUUCUACGCUAUGAGCGGUAACUGGGAUGAAGUCGUAACAAGGUAACCGUA